rnacentral:misc_RNA from 1 species
UGUUCGAGCGUCAUUUAUACCAAUCUAGCCUGGCUAGGUGUUGGGCUUCGCCGUCUGGCGGGCCUUAAAACUAGUGGCGGUGCUCUUAAGCUCUACGCGUAGUUACUUUUCUCGCGUAUAGGGUCUUGAGAGAUGCUGGCCAGCAACCCCAAAUUUUCUAGGUUGACCUCGGAUCAGGUAGGGAUACCCGCUGAACUUAA